UCACCUUUCGCACACUGCUCUCCCGUUAUUUGUCCUCUUCCCUCCCGGUUCCCCCGCCUUUCCCUCCUCUCCCUCCUCCUCCUUUUUUUUUCCAGCUUAGCAGCACAAAUUUCUGUUUGUGCCAGUGGGGCGGCCUGGCGAGACCGCAAUUGCUCUACCCCACAGAUUGACGAGCCCUCAGAUGCCGAUUUACUGUACAUGGCAGCCACGCUGGAGCCGAGGCACAUCUGGAGUGGAGACUGCUUAAAACCACCAGAGAUGAAGCUCAGUAAGGAGAGGACUGACUGUCUGGUGUAGGUAUUCGUCAGUCCAGAAAGAAGGAACAGUGCUCCUCCAAGUUCUUGAAUGACCUUUCUGUGCCUGAAACCAGAUGCAUCAUGGCUCCAGGGAUACAUCCAGGGAUGGUACACGUUUUGUGGCAAAUAAAACUUUGGGACAUGAACACAUGCUAAAGCAGCAGCACUAUUCCAUUAUUCCAGUGGGCUUCAUGUAUUGCGACCGUCAUCCAGAAAUGAAGGCAGAAGAGCACUUUGACAAAGGGAAGCAUCUUACGUUUUUGAGAAGUGUACCAGCAGCUGUUAGUCUACAAAAAUAUAUAUGUGUGAGAAAGGGUCAGUUAAACUAAGUCAACUAUUAAUAUUACACUUUAAAGGGCAAUAUAUAUCUGUAACAUCUAAAGAAACUGAGAAAUCUGCCUAAAAGUAAAAAAGAGACUUCCAGCUUCAAGUGUGUCAUUUCCUUUCAAUGUGAUUAUUUACAUUAUAUCUGUUCUAUGCGUUGUGCAAACUAUGUUGUUGACAUUUGAACGGUGUUUCAGUGUAAGAUUAUGGCAUUUGUGAAACAGUUAAAACACCGACAUUUGUAAUAUUUUAGACCCCAGCAUAAACUGUUGUACUUUGAAAAAUUAUUAUAUUGUAUCUCUUUUGCCUCCUUUCAGUGUUUUGUUUUGUUUAAUCAGUAGAGGAUUCAUUGAACAGGAACCUGCCAUUUGUUUAUUGGCGUUUCUCAGAAGAAUAAGAACAGUUGUCGAUUAUAUAUUUCUCCAACAAAAAUAUAUGCUCAAUACUUAAAUGUUCAGUUUAUAAUUCCACCCCAAAUAUACAUGUAUCCUAAAAAUAAACCACAAUAAAUGUUAGACUAAGCA
rnacentral:lncRNA from 1 species